GACUUGCCCUGGCCAACGGAUGCAGAUGAAGUAAGAGUGUGCUACUACAGAGCAGAGGCCUUUAAUGACCUCCCCAGAAAACCUAAGCCAUAGCCUAAAGCCAAACCAUUCCAGCCACCCUGCAGAUCUACCGAGGAGGAAAACUAAUGUUUGUUGUUGUAAGAAGUAAAAAUUUAGACUACCUCAUUUCCAUCCUGGGCCCUCGCGUUCCUUCCCCUGGCUGCCGUUGUCAGCUCACCUCAUGCACCAUUCUGAGAUGAUCGAUCACCAGCUGGAGUGUAAAUUAUCACUUCCUAGAGGAGAGAUUUGGAAAUGAGACUGAGCCAGGAAUGACCAUUGGAGAAGGGUGUUGCGAAGACUGCAAUUAUAUAUUUACUAUUGCUGACACAAGAAUUAUGACAGAUUCAUUGGUAUGACCCAACGCUAUAACUGUAUGUAGUUAUUCAGCCAUCCUUGUAGUGAGAGAAGAUUCCAGUACAGUUCACAUGGGGCCACCAUUUCGGCCAAGUGAGGUGCACGGUACUCAUUCUCUGUCCUUAAGAUCUGAGGGGAGGAUGUUGACAGCAUUCAGGUAGACAGUGAGGGGAACCAUGGCCAGUCCACACCUGUGCCCAGGUAAGCCAGGCCUGACCAGCUUUCCAAUGAUUCCAUGCCAAAAGAACAGAAAAAAAGCAGCAUGGAGCCUGGGGAAACAAUGUAGGAGCAGAGAGAAAGGAAAGAGUACACUCAGG
rnacentral:lncRNA from 10 species